CCAAGCAACGAACAUUUUACUUAAGCAAAAUUAAAUAUUCUGGAUUCGUUGCAUCUGUAUUCGCUAAGGGAGAGUGUAUACACAUAAACCAAACUAUCCAGAAUUUUAUAUAUAUGUCUACAUAAUUUUACCAUCUCACACAAUAUCUCUCCACUAUGUAAUGUAGGUAUCCUGUAAACAGGAAUCGUGCAAAAAGUAAAUAAAAAAAAAAUGUAACUCCAUGGGAAAAUAGUAAAACAAAUAUCGUCUUUUCUUGGGAGUGUAGGUAGAUAUUUAAAGUGUUUUUGUUCCACAAAAUAAAAAAAAAAAAAACACACCAACACUAAAAACACGUAUCGAU